rnacentral:piRNA from 1 species
UCAAAUUUUGUUUUUCGCAAA